rnacentral:tRNA from 1 species
GGGGUUGUGGCUCAGUGGUAGAGCGCUCACCUCGAACGUGCGGGACCCUGGGUUUGAUCCUCAGUACCA